GGAUCUUGGUUGCCGUAGAAGAUCAAUCAGUUUCUCCGCCUUUCGUUUGGCGCGACUGGUUCCGGACUGAGACAAAGCGACGAGGGGAGGAAUGGCUCCUUCGCGAGCCACCAUAGUACGGUACGCCACGCUAUCCUCACAUAUCUGUAACAGAAUGGAAACGGCAAUUUCCUUCUGCCGUUGUGAUCCGACCUCUACGAUCUCUACCAAUACCGGAAUUCCA
rnacentral:misc_RNA from 1 species